AUUAGAUCACAAAGCUGUGAUAUUUUUUUGUUCAAAAUUUUUUCAUUUUUUUCUGUUUCUUCUUUCU
rnacentral:ribozyme from 13 species